UACGUAGGGUGCAAGCGUUGUCCGGAAUUAUUGGGCGUAAAGCGCGCGUAGGCGGCCACUUAAGUCGGAUGUGAAAGCCCCUGGCUCAACUGGGGAAGUGCACCCGAAACUGAAUGGCUUGAGUGCGAAAGAGGGUCGCGGAAUUCCCGGUGUAGUGGUGAAAUGCGUAGAUAUCGGGAGGAACACCAGUGGCGAAGGCGACUACCUGGCCUGUUUCUUGACGCUGAGGCGCGAAAGCUAGGGGAGCAAACGGG
rnacentral:rRNA from 1 species